GACAAUUUAAAAGCAAACACAGUGCAAGCAUGUUAUUACAUUUGUUUGCGCUGGGCAGAACAAAUACAGGGCCUUUUUCUAAUGCCAGAGCUCUUCAGCAGGGCUCUGGGCAUUGAACCAACAUGCUCACUUUCAGAGGGGGCGUGCUUGUCAUUAGUGAUGACAAAACACACCCUCUCUGGCCCCGCCCCCUUCUUGGGGGGCCGCUCUAAUUGAAAAAUGCCCGGGCCUAAUUUUUUUCCCAGUCCGGCCCUGGUCCUGAGGC
rnacentral:lncRNA from 1 species